rnacentral:rRNA from 1 species
UAGGGAAUCUUCGGCAAUGGGGGCAACCCUGACCGAGCAACGCCGCGUGAGUGAAGAAGGUUUUCGGAUCGUAAAGCUCUGUUGUAAGUCAAGAACGAGUGUGAGAGUGGAAAGUUCACACUGUGACGGUAGCUUACCAGAAAGGGACGGCUAACUACGUGCCAGCAGCCGCGGUAAUACGUAGGUCCCGAGCGUUGUCCGGAUUUAUUGGGCGUAAAGCGAGCGCAGGCGGUUUGAUAAGUCUGAAGUUAAAGGCUGUGGCUCAACCAUAGUUCGCUUUGGAAACUGUCAAACUUGAGUGCAGAAGGGGAGAGUGGAAUUCCAUGUGUAGCGGUGAAAUGCGUAGAUAUAUGGAGGAACACCGGUGGCGAAAGCGGCUCUCUGGUCUGUAACUGGCGCUGAGGCUCGAAAGCGUGGGGAGCGAACAGGAUUAGAUACCCUGGUAGUCCACGCCGUAAACGAUGAGUGCUAGGUGUUGGAUCCUUUCCGGGAUUCAGUGCCGCAGCUAACGCAUUAAGCACUCCGCCUGGGGAGUACGACCGCAAGGUUG